UUUGUCACGGAUCAUCAUUGAUAUUUUGUGUGGUUUUUUAUCACUAAAAUGCAUCUUUUUGUAACUGUUUGGCUACUAGAAACUGCUUAAACAAAUGAAAAAAAAAAAUAGUUUUUUUCACACAUCUUUGACCAAGUUUUACGUACUCGUACGUUUAGUUGAUCAUAUAAAAUAUUUUGCCUUACCCGCGAAUGCCUUCGUCUCGAUAGAAACGUCAUCCAUUAUUAAAAUAUGUUUUUUUGCUUUUAAAGUUUUGGCCGAUUUAGUAAACAUUCAAUCUGUUCUUGCUACUGGCUGGAGAAGUUUUGUCAAAAUUUUAAUCUUGCAAUUUUAGUAUUGUAUCUCGUACAAGCUUCUGGCCUGCGCCAGCCAAUAGGAUCCAGCAAAGGCAUGGUUCCCUUUGACUGUGUAGUGUGACCUACAUCCUUCGUAACUGAAAAUAUUUGGCUAUUUUAUUGCUUCAACAUUACAAAAAAAAAUUUCAUCUGUUUGUUAAAUUUUUGUUUCAGGUGUUGGAACAAGCUACUACAUGGAGGUGAAGCAUCAAUUUAGGACUUGACUUGUCAACUGUUGGUUGAGAUGGCAAAAGAGGAUGGAUUGCCAAUAUAGGACCAAAAUUUCAUUUUCUCACUUGUCUAUGGAAUCCUAGAUGCUCACAGUUCUGGGUUGCUCAGUAGUAGCGGAACAUUCUUAUCUGAUCAGGCCACAAAUAACACAUGACAAAUCUAUCCACAUCAAACAUGGAGCUGAUUACCAUAUUGUUCAUAGAAUAUGUAUGCCUGAAGAUAGAUUGGAUUAGAGGCAUGUUGGAGUGAUAUUCCAGAAAGCAGCAUCCCAAGGGCUAGAAUCUGAAGUUAAAAGGCCGGUCAACACAAUAUGUAUUUUUUAACUUUGUUUUCUUUCAUUGGUGGUGAAAUUGAAUUAAAUUAAAAUUGAAAGUUA